AUACGGAGGAUGCAAGCGUUAUCCGGAUUUAUUGGGUUUAAAGGGUGCGUAGGCGGUUUGCUAAGCGGGAGGUGAAAUGCCGGCGCUCAACGUCGGAAGUGCCUCCCGAACUGGUGGACUUGAAUGACUCUGCCGUGGGAGGAAUGUGUAGUGUAGCGGAGUAAUGCUUAGAGAUUACACAGAACACCGAUUGCGAAGGCAUCUCACGAAGGGUUGAUUGACGCUGAGGCACGAAAGCGUGGGGAUCAAACAGGAUUAGAUACCCUGGUAGUCCACGCAGUAAACGAUGAUGGCUAACCGCUGGAUCCAUCGGUUCAGUGGCCAAGCGAAAGCGAUAAGCCAUCCACCUGGGGAGUACGACCGCAAGGUUGAAACUCAAAUGAAUUGACGGGG
rnacentral:rRNA from 1 species